rnacentral:lncRNA from 1 species
GAUCUCAACUCACUGCAACCUCCGCCUCCUGGGCUCAUGCAAUUCUCCUAUCUCAGCCUCCCUGAGUAGCUGGGAUUACAGGCACCCGCCACCAUGCCUGGCUAAUUUUUGUACUUUUAGUAGAGACAGGGUUUCGCCAUGUUGGCCAGGCUGGUCUUGAACUCCUGACCUCAGGUGAUCUGCCCACCUUGGCCUCUCAAAGUGCUGGGAUUACAGAUGUGAGCCACAGCACCCGGCCAAGAGGUCAUUUUUUGUAUGCAGAAGUGACACAGCUAAAGUAGAGGGGUUUCUUGUUUCUUUAAGUAUUUAGAAACAACUUGAAUUUUAAAGUAGACUAGUCACUGAACCUGUUUGAGUACAAAUUUACUUUGUAAAUGCUUUCUUUUCUUAGAAAGUAUAAAGAAUCAUCAUAAGAUUCAAAUCAUCCAGAUCUGAAUAAUGGAAAAUUUUUAGGUUCCUAUUUUACUUGAUUUAUAUCUGAGAAAAGAUGCUGAAGUGGGAACAGAUAGCUGUACACCCAAGAAAUUGUUGUCAAACUUGAGAUCUUUAAAAAAGACACAGUUUAUUGAUUUUAUUUCUAUUAGAACAGUGAAUAUACCUACUAUAGAAAAUAGGCGAAAUUCAGAAAAGCAGGUAACAGAAAAGAAAAAAAAGAUAAGCUGUAAUACCACCUUCCAAAACAAUUACCAAAAAUGGUGUGGGCCAGGUGCGGUGGCUCACACCUGUAAUCCCAGCACUUUGGGAGGCCGAGGUGGGUGGAUCACCUGACGUCAAGAGUUGGAGACCAGCCUGGCCAACAUGACAAAACCCCAGCUCUACUAAAAAUACAAAAAAUUAGCCUGGUUUGGUGGUGGGCGCCUGUGAUCCCAGCUACUCGGGAGGCUGAGGCAGGAGAACCACUUGAAUCCAGGAGGCAGAGGUAGUGGUGAGCCAAGAUUGUGCCACUGCACUCCAGCCUGGGCAAUAGAGCAAGACUCCAUCUCAAAAAAAAAAAAAAAGGUGUGAAGUACUAUAUUUCCUUCCACUCUUUUCUCCAUACAUAGAAUUUAUAACCUUUAUUGUUUCUAUAUAACAAUAAUUAUAUUAAAUAUAAGAAUUAUC